GCCCCAGUGGCCUAAUGGAUAAGGCACUGGCCUCCUAAGCCAGCGAUUGUGGGUUCGAAACUAAUCUGAGAUG
rfam:Danio rerio chromosome 22, GRCz11 reference primary assembly.